GUGACAUGUUUUACUAUCGGAGAGUCGCGACUUCUAGGAGACGCGAAUCUCUGAAAUAAAAGUUAAUUACAACUUUCAGCAAUGGAUCUCUUGGCUCUCGCAUCGAUGAAGAACGCAGCGAAAAGCGAUAUGUAAUGUGAAUUGCAGAUCUACAGUGAAUCAUCGAAUCUUUGAACGCACCUUGCGCUCCUCGGUGUUCCGAGGAGCAUGCCUGUUUGAGCGUCAGUAAAUUCUCAACCCCUCUAGAUUUGUUUCGAGGGGGAGCUUGGAUGGUGGGGGCUGCCGGAGACUAGGACUCGUCCUGGACUCGGGCUCUCCUUAAAUGCAUCGGCUUGCGGUCGACUUUCGACUUUGCGCGACAAGGCUUUCGGCGUGAUAAUUAUCCCCGUUUGAUGAAGCGCAUGAAUGAAGGUUCCGUGCCUCUAAUGCGUCGACUUCCUAUCUCUUCGGAGAGAAAACGUCUUCCUUAUUGACUUUGACCUCAAAUCAGGUAGACU
rnacentral:rRNA from 1 species